CCUGAGGCUCUUCUCAGAGCCACUAACCACACUUUUGGCAUGUCUCU
rfam:Amazona aestiva scaffold_86, whole genome shotgun sequence.